GCGUGCAGCCGUCACAACUUGUGAGUGUUACAUUUACCGUUUCAGUUCCAACCGAUACAGUUCCCGGUGUCCCGGUCCGCAUUGCAGGAAACUUAUUGCAGCUGGGCAACACUUUCGCCGACCUGCAAGGCGGUGUCAGCACCAACACAGACCGCAUGCCGAUCAUGAGCCUGCAGGCGGAUGGACGUUAUUCCAUAUCACUGGGGCUGCCGGCCGGCGCGCACAUCCAAUAUAAAUAUACGCUGGGCGAUGGGUUUUGGAAUGCGGAACACCAGGAGGAUGGUCAAUGGAAAUUACGCGAGUUCGUUGUCCCCUCUCAAAACCUCACGCUCCAGGAUAGUGUGGCAACAUGGGCCAUAGGCGAUGCGCCGAUCCUGUUUGAGGUGAGCGUACCAUCUGUCACACCGCCCGGCGAUAUUAUCUAUAUGCAAUUCAAUACCUUUGGCUGGAUGGAACCCAUUCCCAUGUGGCCGCUUGGCAAUAAUCGCUGGGCUUAUAAACUUUACAGCCCGCUUAAUAUUCUGGGUACUUUUUCGUACCGUUAUUGUCGCAAUGGACAAUGUGGCAGCGCAGACGAUGUUCAAACGAUUGGCGCAGCUCCCCCCGGGCGGCCUGCCUCAACCAGCAUCCUCGGGCAGGAUAUCCAGGAUACGGUCAGCGCCUGGAAAUGGUUCGAGAACCCUGAGCCGGUUACAUUGGUGGGCGCCAGCAUUACGCCGCGCGCAAACGGUUUCAAUGCCGGCGUUGAAUUCCAAUCCACCUAUCGGCCAAACUGGUCUUAUUACGCGCCGCAGGCAUUCGCAAAUACACAGGCGCUUGGAGCCAACAUCGCCGUCCUCACGCCGAGUUGGACAUAUACAAGCAUCGCUCCCUUGAAUUUUACGCCCAUCCCCGGGCAGGACCCAUUAUGGAUCGACUCGGCCAUAAUGAUCUCGCAGGCACGCGCUCUGGGACUUAAUAUUGCAUUAUUCCCUACAC
rnacentral:misc_RNA from 1 species